AUUGAACGCUGGCGGCAGGCCCAACACAUGCAAGUCGAACGGUAACAGGAAGCAGCUUGCUGCUUUGCUGACGAGUGGCGGACGGGUGAGUAAUGUCUGGGAAACUGCCUGAUGGAGGGGGAUAACUACUGGAAACGGUAGCUAAUACCGCAUAACGUCGCAAGACCAAAGAGGGGGACCUUCGGGCCUCUUGCCAUCGGAUGUGCCCAGAUGGGAUUAGCUAGUAGGUGGGGUAACGGCUCACCUAGGCGACGAUCCCUAGCUGGUCUGAGAGGAUGACCAGCCACACUGGAACUGAGACACGGUCCAGACUCCUACGGGAGGCAGCAGUGGUGAAUAUUGCACAAUGGGCGCAAGCCUGAUGCAGCCAUGCCGCGUGUAUGAAGAAGGCCUUCGGGUUGUAAAGUACUUUCAGCGGGGAGGAAGGGAGUAAAGUUAAUACCUUUUCUCAUUGACGUUACCCGCAGAAGAAGCACCGGCUAACUCCGUG
rnacentral:rRNA from 1 species